AGAGACUUACACAUGAAUAAAAUGAGUGGCUGGGCCACCAUAGCUUCUGCACUAGAAGUUAGAAAAUGUUAAAUGUAUAUAAAAUAUUUUCCAGUAUUCAAUCAUAGAAGAAAAUAGAAAUGAAAAUUUUUAAUGUGUUUCAGAUUAACCUUUGCUACUGCUGAUAAUUUUUAAUGGAAAUAGCUUUGGAUGGAUACAGGCUUGCAUAAGCAGUACACCCUGUUCCUUUAGAAGAAGCAAUGGGUGAGGCUGAUGAUGGGUGGAAAAUGAGUGGUGAUUUCUCUUUGAAAUUUGUUAGAUUUGUAUAGCCUUUGCCACUUAGCACCAAUCAGACUAAGAAAAAGAUAUUAAAAUAAAAUGAAUCUUUUUAGAGUAUAUUAUUCAAUCCAAAAUGUAAAGAAUUUAGAAAUAGAACUUUUCAUCCUAUGCUUAGAAUCCUUCAUCUGGGAUAAGUAAUCUGAUUCCACAAAAUGGAUUUAUGAUUUCUAGCCUGGAAUAUUCUAUGCAGGCUAAUAACUUCAGUUCCAUGAUUUGGAGUCCUCAUCAAUUAGGCUGUAAAUUGUCUGCUGAGUGGCCUCU
rnacentral:lncRNA from 1 species